GUGCUUGUUUUGGCAGCACAUAUAUUAAAAUUGGACCCAAACGGAGGUUAGCAUGGCCCCUGCACAAGUGUGACAUGCAAAUUCUUGAAGCAUUCCAUAUUAAA